GAUGAACGCUGGCGGCGUGCCUAAUACAUGCAAGUCGAGCGAACGGACGAGAAGCUUGCUUCUCUGAUGUUAGCGGCGGACGGGUGAGUAACACGUGGAUAACCUACCUAUAAGACUGGGAUAACUUCGGGAAACCGGAGCUAAUACCGGAUGAUAUUUUGAACCGCAUGGUUCAAAAGUGAAAGACGGUCUUGCUGUCACUUAUAGAUGGAUCCGCGCUGCAUUAGCUAGUUGGUAAGGUAACGGCUUACCAAGGCAACGAUGCAUAGCCGACCUGAGAGGGUGACCGGCCACACUGGAACUGAGACACGGUCCAGACUCCUACGGGAGGCAGCAGUAGGGAAUCUUCCGCAAAGGGCGAAAGCCUGACGGAGCAACGCCGCGUGAGUGAUGAAGGUCUUCGGAUCGUAAAACUCUGUUAUUAGGGAAGAACAUAUGUGUAAGUAACUGUGCACAUCUUGACGGUACCUAAUCAGAAAGCCACGGCUAACUACGUG
rnacentral:rRNA from 1 species